rnacentral:rRNA from 1 species
UACGUAGGGGCUAGCGUUAUCCUGAAUUACUGGGCGUAAAGGGUGCGUAGGUGGUUUCUUAAGUCAGAGGUGAAAGGCUACGGCUCAACCGUAGUAAGCCUUUGAAACUGGGAAACUUGAGCGCAGGAGAGGAGAGUGGAAUUCCUAGUGUAGCGGUGAAAUGCGUAGAUAUUAGGAGGAACACCAGUUGCGAAGGCGGCUCUCUGGACUGUAACUGACACUGAGGCACGAAAGCGUGGGGAGCAAACAGGAUUAGAUACCCGUGUAGUCCCUGAG